CUGGGUGCUCAGCUUCAGAAGAAGAUCAAGGAGCUCCAGGCUCGCAUUGAGGAACUGGAGGAGGAGAUCGAGGCUGAGCGUGCUGCUCGUGCCAAGGUUGAGA